rnacentral:rRNA from 1 species
CCUAGGGGGGCUGCAGGCGCGAAACCUUUACAAUGCGGGCAACCGUGAUAAGGGAACCUCGAGUGCCUGUAAACGCAGGCUGUUCAGGUGUUUAAAACGCACCUGGAGAAAGGGCCGGGCAAGACCGGUGCCAGCCGCCGCGGUAAUACCGGCGGCUCGAGUGGUGGCCGCUUUUAUUGGGCUUAAAGCGUUCGUAGCUGGGUUGUUAAGUCUCUUGGGAAAUCUGGCGGCUUAACCGUCAGGCGUCUAAGGGAUACUGGCAAUCUUGGAACCGGGAGAGGUGAGGGGUACUUCGGGGGUAGGGGUGAAAUCCUGUAAUCCUCGAGGGACCACCUGUGGCGAAGGCGCCUCACCAGAACGGCUUCGACAGUGAGGGACGAAAGCUGGGGGAGCAAACCGGAUUAGAUACCCCAGUAGUC